rnacentral:rRNA from 1 species
GAUGAACGCUGGCGGCGUGCCUAAUACAUGCAAGUCGAACGAAACUUCUUUAUCACCGAGUGCUUGCACUCACCGAUGAAGAGUUGAGUGGCGAACGGGUGAGUAACACGUGGGCAACCUGCCCGAAAGAGGGGGAUAACACUUGGAAACAGGUGCUAAUACCGCAUAACCAUGAACACCGCAUGGUGUUUAUGUGAAAGGUGGUUUCGGCUACCGCUUUCGGAUGGGCCCGCGGCGCAUUAGCUAGUUGGUGGGGUAAAGGCUUACCAAGGCAAUGAUGCGUAGCCGAACUGAGAGGUUGAUCGGCCACAUUGGGACUGAGACACGGCCCAAACUCCUACGGGAGGCAGCAGUAGGGAAUCUUCCACAAUGGGCGAAAGCCUGAUGGAGCAACGCCGCGUGGGUGAAGAAGGUCUUCGGAUCGUAAAACCCUGUUGUCAGAGAAGAAAGUGCAUGAGAGUAACUGUUCAUGUUUCGACGGUAUCUGACCAGAAAGCCACGGCUAACUACGUGCCAGCCGCCGCCGUAAAAC